ACGAACAGUUAUUGUGCUGACGUUGCUUCCAGAGGCAGUUUGGAACUCGGUAGUGAGUGUUGCAACCGAGGACAGUUGAUUUUCACCACUCGGCGGUCUCGUUCUUWGAGCUUGUGGAGCCGUUGUUGRUCCUAGACGAUUCCACUUCACAAUAACGCAUUACAGUUGACCGGGGCAGCUAUAGCAGGACAGAAAUCUGACAAACUGAGCUCUUCAGUUAGGCCAUUUUACUGCCAAUGUUUGUCUAUGGAGAUCGCAUGGUUGUCUGCUAGAUCUUAUAUUCCUGUCAGUAARGGGUGUAGCUGAAAUAGCCAAAGACACUAAUACUCAAAUUGUGAAAAUUAUGAGUGAGAAAUGUUGGUGGGAUGGAGUUCUGGCCUGCCUGGUGUCAUCACCAGGAAGUAAAUUAGUUAAUUGAUCAAAAAGAGAGUUCCCAACCUCUCUGCCGAUAACAGCUAGUUUUCAGCAGGUUGACAUUUGUCAUGAAUCUUGCCCUGGAAGCAGAACUGAGCUAUUUCUGCUAAAUGGGCCAGUUGCAAAGUCAAAAUUGGUUAUAUCAUAAAAAAUGUAUGUAAACUAAAUUAGCUUUUUGGUCUUAAUUUAAGGUUAGGCAUUAGGGUUAGCAGUGUGGUUAAGGUUAGGUUUAAAAUGAGACAUUAUGACUAUGUGGCUGUCAGCAGCUAGUGACCACUCUGUAGAGCUGCCUCCAGWMCAACGUUCAUGACAAUAAAUGCCAACCGGACAGUUUCUCCUACAUAACAGAAAUUGCUCUUUUUGACCAUUUUAAUUGAAAAUAAUCACUAAGGUACUUAACUGUUACCCAUAAACGAUUUAAUGUUGAGAUCAAAACAGCUGUAUUAGACCUUUAAGAACACUGCAGAGGGAAUGUAAUGUUAGGAGCUGACAGAACUAUARCUGCUCACUGAAAUACAUUGCCAUCUGCACAUUGAAGUGACGUUAUGCCCACCUAAAUAAAUCAUGACAUCCUGA